rnacentral:snRNA from 1 species
AUCUUUGCGCUUGGGGCAAUGACGCAGCUAGUGAGGUUCUAACCGAGGCGCGUCUAUUGCUGGUUGAAAACUAUUUCCAAACCCCCUCUCUGGCUUGGGUUCGGCCCAAGCCUGAGAGAAUUUUUGAAAGGGUUUCCUUCGGGAGAAACC